rnacentral:rRNA from 1 species
CCUACGGGAGGCAGCAGUGAGGAAUAUUGGUCAAUGGACGAGAGUCUGAACCAGCAAAGUAGCGUGAAGGAUGAAUGCCCUAUGGGUUGUAAACUUCUUUUAUAAAGGAAUAAAACGAGGCACGUGUGCCUUAUUGCAUGUACUUUAUGAAUAAGGAUCGGCUAACACCGUGCCAGCAGCCGCGGUAAUACGGAGGAUCCGAGCGUUAUCCGGAUUUAUUGGGUUUAAAGGGAGCGUAGAUGGGUUGUUAAGUCAGUUGUGAAAGUUUGCGGCUUAACCGUAAAAUUGCAAUUGAUACUGGCAGUCUUGAGUACAGUUGAGGUAGGCGGAAUUCGUGGUGUAGCGGUGAAAUGCUUAGAGAUCACGAAGAACCCCGAUUGCGAAGGCAGCUUACUAAACUGUGACUGACAUUGAUGCUCGAAAGUGUGGGUAUCAAACAGGAUUAGAUACCCCAGUAGUC